CUGUAAUUUAGUUCAAUUCAGAACUGCAGAUAGUACAGCUUCCACAGGAGCGAGCGAUGCCGCAACACAAGGGGCUCAGCUCCCAGUGACUUUAUGAAGCACUUUUCCGCCUUGCUCGGCACCAAAACAACAAUUCUGCACCUGCACCAGGGACAGCCUCGCAAAAGCCGCAGCUCUGCCUCCGGGAACAAGGAACUAGAGCAAAUAACCAUGUUGAAAUUAGUUCUUGGUAAAAUGGCCAACAGAUCCGUUACAGAAGCUGCAAGUAGUUUGAACUUCAUCUUCGAUGGCAAGUCUGACCCUGAAGAAACAGGCCAUAUGUCCAAGGAAGAGGGCAGCCUCGCUGGUUAUGCCCGAAAUUAGGACAUGAUGGAGCUUUCUGAACAUUUCAGAUCAAAUAAAGGAAAGCAUUUUGAAUAGGACACUGAUGAGUUUUCCUGUGGGCCAUUCUGUUGCUGAAUCGCUACCCCAUGACACGCACACAGCAGCUGUGGUACCUGCACAGAAACUGCCCAGACAUCGCUCCCCUUAGACCUGCUCCCCAAUCCCAUCAAAAGGGAUGCUGGAAGAAGCCUUCCUAGUCUAAAUCUGGAUAAUUUCACAACAUCAAAGAUACAGUUUGUGCUCCAGGAACCGCCCCAAGAUUUCUAUACAAUUCUCCAAACACGUGAACAGUUAUGAAUGGUUCCUUUAAUAUCCUUUCCUCUUUGGAAUGCCUUUAGUUAAAUUCACUGAUAAUUUCUUGCCCAUUUGUUUCAUGGAUAAGAAUUGUUGAAAUCUUGGCAAAAUUUUAUUCAGGUACUUCAUAUUUAUUUCCUAUUAUAUGUCAGGUGUUUGUUGCCUAUUACUAUGCAAGGAUAGUAAUGUUUAAUAUGUUUAGUAUUGAUAUUUAGUAUAAUGUCCUGUGUUGAUUGUUGCAUUUAAGCAAAAUAAAAGGCAGUAAGUAAAGUGAGAAGGUGGCUAGCGUACUAUUUCAAAUGGGAAGGAAAGGCGAAACUUUCUAAUGGAGACAUGGAUGAAACGAGUCAUGAGGCUAAUGAACAACAGCAGCAGCAGGUGUCAAGGUCCUGUGGCCAACUCAUGUCAGGAUGCUCUGUUGAUGACAAAGAAGCGAUUAGGCCUGGAGCAGAGUGAGAAGCGAGGUAGGAAACACAAUGAGAGCAAUGGCUUUUGGCUCCUGCAAGCCCCAAUGACAGCUUCAGAUAAAGCAAGGUUGUAUCCCCAAUGGAGAUGAGCAGAACUACCGGGAGGGACCAUUUCACAGAACACUGGACACUGUAUUUGAUGAACAUUGGACUGAUUUACAUGAAUAAAUUAUGCUAAAAGCCAUGAAAAGAUAAAUGAACACUUUCUUUUUUUUUUUUCCUAGCUGGGUGCUUUAGGACAAGGACAAGAAAACACAAAGAAUGCAGUUUAGGACAGAAGGAAGCAUGUGGCUGGUUUUGCUUAAGGCUAUGUAUGAGCUGGCUACUAAUCCUGGUGUUAAAAAUACUCAAUGAAGCAAACGUUUGGUCAGCAGUUAAGACCCUGGCUGGGAAGCAAAUGUCCAGUGCCCAUGUGCCUGGAUUCCAGU